GGGACCUCAAAUUGAAAGCAACUUGUCAUAAAUGACCCAAAGGGCAAAAGAAGUGAAAAAAGGAAAGAAAGAAAGAAAGUAAAGAUCUCCUGAUAUAUCCUGCACAGUGCCUCCACUGUAGGGUACAAGUUUUCACUCUCUAUACCAAAAACCUAAGUUACCUAACCUGCUCUUUUCUGUCGCAUUAAACAGAGACAUAUUCUAAUUUUGACUGUCCUCAAAGUCUACCCUCGACAGGAGAGGAUCUCUCAUGUUUAUCAUCUCACCUCCCAACUCAUUCUAUAAUACAAUCAAAAUUACAAAUGCCACCAUCCAGCGUAUGAUAUUUUCAAGUACAUACAAAAAAACAAAACCAGGUAAUGACAAUCCCAAGCCCAGUACACACGAUAAACACUUGAGCAAAUAAGAUGUACAAUGCAUUAACUUGCAUACCAUUACAUGGCCAGGAAAAUUUUUACAAUAAUAAUAAUAAUAA
rnacentral:misc_RNA from 1 species